AUCAACUUUCGAUGGUAGGAUAGAGGCCUACCAUGGUGGUAACGGGUAACGGGGUGUUAGGGCACGACACCGGAGAGGGAGCCUGAGAAACGGCUACCACAUCCAAGGAUGGCAGCAGGCGCGCAAAUUACCCAAUCCCGACACGGGGAGGUAGUGACAAUAAAUAACAAUACGGGGUUCUUUCGGAUUUCGUAAUUGGAAUGAGUACAAUUUAAAUCUCUUAACGAUCAACAAUUGGAGGGCAAGUCUGGUGCCAGCAGCCGCGGUAAUUCCAGCUCCAAUAGCGUAUAUUAAAGUUGUUGCAGUUAAAAAGCUCGUAGUUGAAUUUCGGGAUCAGUAGGUCGGUCAUGCCUCAGGUAUGUACUGGUCUCACUGGUUCCUCCUUCCUGAUGAACCGUAAUGCCAUUAAUUUGGUGUUGCGGGGAAACUGGACUGUUACUUUGAAAAAAUUAGAGUGUUUAAAGCAAGCUAACGCUUGAAUACAUUAGCAUGGAAUAAUGAAAUAGGACGUUCGAUCCUAUUUUGUUGGUUUCUAGGAUUGACGUAAUGAUUAAUAGGGAUAGUUGGGGGCAUUAGUAUUCAAUUGUCAGAGGUGAAAUUCUUGGAUUUAUUGAAGACUAACUACUGCGAAAGCAUUUGCCAAGGAUGUUUUCAUUAAUCAAGAACGAAAGUUAGGGGAUCGAAGACGAUCAGAUACCGUCGUAGUCUUAACCAUAAACUAUGCCGACUAGGGAUCGGAUGAUGUUAAUUUUUUAAUGACUCAUUCGGCGCCUUACGGGAAACCAAAGUGUUUGGGUUC
rnacentral:rRNA from 1 species